UUAAUAAUUUUUAGUUAUUAAUUAAUUUCAUACAGCCACAAUACAAACGACUAAAUUUUGUGGUGAACAUAUAUCUUGUGAGCAGGAAGAUCCUCAAUCAGCUCACCCUUCCUUCAGCCUUCAAGUCAUCAACUUCACAACAAGUAAGAUGAAACCCUCGUCUUCUGGCCAUGCGUUUUUCGGCACGAAUGUAGAACAGAAGUGGACGACGGAGGUGGCCUGAUCAAGCUAAAAGGAGAAGAUAAACAAAGGUGCAUUUGGCCUCGGCUUGGAUCUUGAGGUGCCAGCACAUGAAGUCAGAGAGAUCCACAGGAGAGUCCACGACGGCCACUGACUACCUGUUCAUUUGGAGGAGUCUCUGAGUCUCUCCCUUCACACGUGAAACUUCAUAUUCAACAUCACAUGCCCAAUAAAGGUACAAAUAUGAUCUUAUUUUAACCUUUGGUCCACACCUUGACUGACGGCAUAAAAUCCUAAAGAAAAUUACCAGGACAGAUUUUUUUUGAAACGUUACAAAGGUUACCUUUAAAAUCAUGACAAUGAGAACGAGGUACCAAACCUGCCAUGAUUUUAGAGAUAAUUUUUUUUGUAACGUUUUAGUAUAAAACUUCUAGUUCUAUAUCCUCAUAAAAGUUUCAAGUUGGUCGAGUCCAUCGAAUAUGCACUACUAGAAAAUGAUGAGGCAAAAGCGGUACCCACUUGAGGAAAAGAGUACUAAUAGCCACAUACCACAGAUAUUGAUUUGGGCUGGAUGUAACCUGUGAUCAAGACAAGACAAUAUAUAAAUCGGUUUUUCAUAAACUAUAUAUUAUUAUAUAUUUUGGACCAGUUGCGGUAGGUAUACAUGCUCAUCAAUGUAAACAAAAUUAUAUGAUGCCUUAAUUAAUUCUCUUGACCCUA